rnacentral:tRNA from 1 species
UCCCAGUUGGUCUAGUGGUUAGGAUCCGGCGCUCUCACCGCCGUGGCCGGGGUUCGAUUCCCCGACUGGAAG